UCAUCAAAAUGUUCAUUCAAGGAUAAGGAAUAAAGAUUAAAGAAUUACACUAUAGUUUAUCUUUCUGUUCAUACAUAUUUUGUGUAGUAUCUAACAUGGUAUCAGAGCCUAGUCUUGGUACGUGCUUUCACUUUCGCAUUAUGGCACCAUCAGUCGAUUCUAACUCUGCUGAUCCUACGAGUCCAUUAUUUUCCAGUGCACGUCUGGUUCAAUCUUUCCCUCACCAUGACACGGUGAAGCUAGAGGAAGGAAAUUUUGUCCAAUGGCAGCAACAUAUCCGGUUGAUAAUAGAGGGAUAUGAGCUGCAAGGAUUCUUUGAGGGUACGUUGCCUGCUCUACCUCGGUUCGUUGCAUCUCCAGAAGGACCACUCAUUCCAAAUCUAGUUGCAUCUGUGUUUAAUCAACAGGAUAAGUUGUUAGCCUCUUGCCUCCUUUCUACAAUUAGUUCAUCUCUUUUGUCAUGCUUUACUUCGGCUAAAUCUACAUGCAAAAUAUGGAGCACAUCGAAUUAUCUUUUCGCUGCUUCAAUUGGUGCAAAAGUUUCCCGUAUUAAACAUGAUCUGCACUUUACAAAAAAGGGCGAUUUAACUGUAAAAGAAUAUAUUGCAAAAAUAUAAAAUAUUUGUGCGUUACUUGCAACUUUUGGAUCGGCAGUGUCAGAAGCCGAAAAGGUGGAAGUUGUUUUGGCUGGCCUCUCGUCGGACUUUGAUGCAGUGUUGACCUUGGCCUCAUUCUCGAUGGAGUCUCUUCCUUUUCAGUGUUUAGUUGAUGUUCUCAUGGAUUUUGAAAGUCGACAUAUGCGAGUGGUGCGUGAGGUUCUGGUGUAUUCUCAUCUAGUUGAACCACCUUUUGUUGCUAUGAUGGUUGACUCAGUUCCGCACGAUGUGCGUAGAGAACGUGCUACAGUAGGUUCGCAUGGGCGUGGUUUUCGAUUACGAGUGCAGUGUCAAAUCUACAACAGAUUCGGUCAUUUGGUGCAGCGCUAUUUCUAUUGUUUCUAUCGCACUUACAACGGCCCGAACGCUUCCACCAUGGCCCGAGUUUCUUCUUCUGCAUAUAAUGUUCAAGGGUUACAAGGUGGAGGCUUCUCUGCUCGUUCUGGUUCUUUUGGUGGCUCUGAAUUUGAGAGUAAUUUUUGGAGAGGCUGCACAUAGUUUCAAAAUCAGAAUUGAUAUCCGCCGCAAGCUAGGGAUGUUUCUUCUUACUAUCCUUACCCUAAUGUAACCGAACAUGGAAUUGGGUUUGGGUCUACCAGUGGCCCAUCUAAUUUUUAUGGUGCUUAUGCUAACGUGAUGAGCAGAGUGAGUUGGGACGUGAUUUGGGACAGCGUUGUGUUGGGCAUGUUGGGCCUUCUGCUGUGACACAUAGGCCGAGUCAUGCAGG
rnacentral:lncRNA from 1 species